GACGAACGCUGGCGGCGUGCCUAAUACAUGCAAGUUGAGCGCUGAAGGUUGGUACUUGUACCAACUGGAUGAGCAGCGAACGGGUGAGUAACGCGUGGGGAAUCUGCCUUUGAGCGGGGGACAACAUUUGGAAACGAAUGCUAAUACCGCAUAAAAACUUUAAACACAAGUUUUAAGUUUGAAAGAUGAAAUUGCAUCACUCAAAGAUGAUCCCGCGUUGUAUUAGCUAGUUAGUGAGGUAAAGGCUCACCAAGGCGAUGAUACAUAGCCGACCUGAGAGGGUGAUCGGCCACAUUGGGACUGAGACACGGCCCAAACUCCUACGGGAGGCAGCAGUAGGGAAUCUUCGGCAAUGGACGAAAGUCUGACCGAGCAACGCCGCGUGAGUGAAGAAGGUUUUCGGAUCGUAAAACUCUGUUGGUAGAGAAGAACGUUGGUGAGAGUGGAAAGCUCAUCAAGUGACGGUAACUACCCAGAAAGGGACGGCUAACUACGUG
rnacentral:rRNA from 1 species